CAGCGCCACGAGUGGCAAUCGUGUAUUUGGCCUAAAGCGUCCGUAGCCGGAUUUGUAAAUCUUUUGUGAAAUCGUUGCGCUCAACGUAACGGCGUGCAGAAGACACUGCAGAUCUCGAGACCGGGAGGAGACAGAGGUAUUCUAGGGGGAGCGGUAAAAUGCUAUAAUCCCUGGAGGACCACCAGUGGCGAAGGCGUCUGUCCAGAACGGAUCUGACGGUGAGGGACGAAAGCCAGGGGAGCGAACCGGAUUAGAUACCCGAGUAGUCC
rnacentral:rRNA from 1 species